rnacentral:rRNA from 1 species
AUUGAACGCUGGCGGCAGGCCUAACACAUGCAAGUCGAGCGGAUGAAGGGAGCUUGCUCCUGGAUUCAGCGGCGGACGGGUGAGUAAUGCCUAGGAAUCUGCCUGGUAGUGGGGGAUAACGUCCGGAAACGGGCGCUAAUACCGCAUACGUCCUGAGGGAGAAAGUGGGGGAUCUUCGGACCUCACGCUAUCAGAUGAGCCUAGUUCGGAUUAGCUAGUUGGUGGGGUAAAGGCCUACCAAGGCGACGAUCCGUAACUGCUCUGAGAGGAUGAUCAGUCACACUGGAACUGAGACACGGUCCAGACUCCUACGGGAGGCAGCAGUAGGGAAUAUUGGGCAAUGGGCGAAAGCCUGACCGAGCAAUGCCGCGUGUGUGAAGAAGGUCUUCGGAUCGUAAAGCACUUUAAGUUGGGGGGAAGAGAAGUAAGUUAAACCAUUGCCGUCUUGACGUUACCAACAGAAUAAGCCACGGCUAACUUCGUG